rnacentral:ncRNA from 1 species
GGGCGGUUGAUGCGUCCCGCGCGGUACGAUCUGGUGGACAUAUGGGGCAUUCUGCGGGCCGAUUAGGCCCGAUGGCGGAGC